rnacentral:pre_miRNA from 1 species
AGUGAGUCAGGAAGAGGAAGAAAAGAGAGUCUAAGAGCAGCAGGCAUGGGAACAUGGAGGAAAAAACAUAUAUAGUUUUCUUCCCCUCUAAAGUUAGAGGUUGAAAUUUGCUGUGUGUUUUUCCCAAUGCCUCCCAUGCCUACAGUUCUUAGGCACUCCUUCCACUUCCUGUUGGCU